rnacentral:tRNA from 1 species
GCCUGGGUGGCUCAGCUGGUAAAGUGUCUGACUCUUGAUUUACAGCUCAGGUCAUGAUCUCAGGGUCGUGAGAUCAAGUCCCACCUCAGGCC